AGAGUUUGAUCCUGGCUCAGAAUGAACGCUGGGGGCGCGCCUAACACAUGCAAGUCGAGCUCGAAAGUCCCUUCGGGGAUGAGUAGAGCGGCGGACGGGUGAGUAACACGUGAGAAUUUACCCUUUAGUGAGGAAUACCCCUGAGAAAUUAGGGUUAAUACCGCAUUCGUUCCUUCGGGAAGAAAGAUGGCCUCUUUGCUGUCGCUAAGGGAUAAGCUUGCGGUCUAUUAGCUAGUUGGUGAGGUAAUGGCUCACCAAGGGGAAGAUGGAUAGCCGGCCUGAGAGGGUGAACGGCCCCACUGGAACUUAGACACGGUCCAGACUCCUACGGGAGGCAGCAGUGGGGAAUAUUGCGCAAUGGGCGAAAGCCUGACGCAGCGACGCCGCGUGGAGGAUGAAGGUCUUAGGAUUGUACACUCCUGUUAAGUGGGAAGAAAGACUCGCUUUUAAUAGAAGCGA
rnacentral:rRNA from 1 species